rfam:Brassica oleracea var. oleracea cultivar TO1000 chromosome C1, whole genome shotgun sequence
GGAAGUUAAGACAUUGUUUCUUAACUUUUAAUUAAAAAGCUAAGAACCGGUUUUUAAAAUCCUUAUUUAAGAACCGGUUCUUAGUUUUUUUAGUUAAAUGUUAAGAAACAGUUUCUUAAUUUUC